UCCCUGGAAGUCUAGUGGUUAGGACCUCACCCUUUCACUGCCAAGGACCUGGGUUUGAUCCCUGGCCAGGGAA
rnacentral:tRNA from 1 species